CGCGUAGGCGGCCUGUGGAAGUCAACGGUGAAAGCCCGGCGCUCAACGCCGGGUCGGCCGUCGAUACUCUCAGGCUCGAGUCGACUAGAGGCAGAUGGAAUUCCGGGUGUAGCGGUGGAAUGCGUAGAGAUCCGGAAGAACACCGGUGGCGAAGGCGGUCUGCUGGGGUCGAACUGACGCUGAGGCGCGACAGCGUGGGGAGCAAACAGGAUUAGAUACCCUGGUAGUCCACGCCGUAAACGAUGGGCACUAGGUGCUUGGGGGAGCGACCCCCUGAGUGCCGGCGCUAACGCAUUAAGUGCCCCGCCUGGGGAGUACGGCCGCAAGGCUGAA
rnacentral:rRNA from 1 species